GCAAACUUGGUCAUUUAGAGGAAGUAAAAGUCGUAACAAGGUUUCCGUAGGUGAACCUGCGGAAGGAUCAUUAUUGAUAAUAAUGAGAACUUGCAGUUGCUGUUGAUUCAUUUCAUUCGUGCACACAGUUCGUCCUUAUAAUAUACACACCCCUUGUGAACUCGUAUGGAAGUGAAAUUCCAUUUUUUUACUACACACACUUACUUACUUUGUAUCGUGGGCUUAAUAAUAAAUAAAACAACUUUCAACAACGGAUCUCUUGGCUCUCGCAUCGAUGAAGAACGCAGC
rnacentral:misc_RNA from 1 species